AUGUCAGAGAGCAUCGUUAGGAAGGUACAACCCUUCACCAUCGGAACCAGGCUCUCCGUCUCUGGACCUUCCACCAGGUCUAAAGGUCCAAACUUCCCCCAGCAGCCGUCCUGGCAGAGCGACCGGGUCUCCCUCUACCUCAGCCAGGUGCAGGUGAGUGUGGCUACUCCUCAUCUAGCUCCCCUUGCUAACCGGACCACCCCAACAUCUGUACCUGUUAAACAGCAGCAGGAGGACAUAUCUACCCAGGACCACCGGAACCAGAAUACCAUGUCUGUGUCUCCCAACUCCCACCGGAGCUCUGUCUCUCCUACCGCCACUUCCAGAUCCAUCAGCAAGAUCACCAUCUCUGGGAGCCCAGAGGACAGCUCCUGGAGGAGACAGGAGGAGUCAGACCACAGGGUGGUUAUUGAGAAGGAGGACAGCUCCUGGAGGAGACAGGAGGAGUCAGACCACAGGGUGGUCAUUGAGAAGGAGGACAGCUCCUGGAGGAGACAGGAGGAGUCAGACCACAGGGUGGUCAUUGAGAAGGAGGACAGCUCCUGGAGGAGACAGGAGGAGUCAGACCACAGGGUGGUCAUUGAGAAGGAGGACAGCUCCUGGAGGACACAGGAGGAGUCAGACCACAGGGUGGUCAGUAUAGGACCAGGACCGGGACGACCCCCUGUCACAGGAACUCCCGGAUCAGAAAACAUCAACAACAACAACAACAACAUCAGCAGCUCCAAGCAACAGCUGCCCAGAAUAGUGGGAGUCAGCUGUGAGAACCAACCCAGCUCACAUAUUAAGGACCAUGGCAGCAUGUUUGGGUUCCUACAGACAUUGGGGCCCAGAGCAAGGUCCCCAAGGAAAGACAGAGAUGCUGAGACAGUAGUGGUAGCCCAGAAUGACAGCUACACCCAACGCACUUCCCUCUUUAACCAGGAAGUACUACAGGAGGGUAGAGGGUUAAUCAGAGCCCAGCACCCCGGCAACUCUAAGAUCCAGGACUUCUUGAUUCGGCUGGAGGAGUUAUGGGAGGAGCUAAGGAGACGACAUCACAGGAACCAGGUCUACCUGCAGGCAGGGGAGGAGAUGAGCUUUAGGACAGUACAUCUCCUCCAGGCCUUGGGUAGUAUAGAAGCCUGGUUGGAGGCAGCAGAGCUGUCCAUGUCGAACUCCCAGUUGGCAGUAGACCCAGAGACCAUGAGGCUGGCUGAGAGAGACAGCUGCCUGCUCCAGACAGAGAUGUCCUGCCGGGGAAUGGAGCUAACAGCACUCAGACAGGAGAUGGACAGGCUGGGUGGUCAGCGGGAGGGUCAGUGCCCAGGAUACCCCAACACUGAGGGCCUUCAGGUGCCACAACACCACACACAGGUCCUCCCAGAUCUUAUGGACCAGGUGGAGAGAAAGUACCAACGUGUCCAGACCGCGUUGACCCAGCAGAGUUCGUCGCUGCAGGACACCAGGAUGCUGACAGAGUUUCUGGAGCGGGUGGAGCUAGAGGAGAGGGUGGAGCUAGAGGAGACCCAGAAGGCCAGGGGGAGGGGCUACAGCAGUAACCUUGGACAGCCUCUCCACGGUGAGAUCAGCUCAGCUCUUACCCUGCUGGGUGAUGGGUGUGGAAGCGGUGGUGGGGAGCCAAUGAUGGAGCCGCUGGGAAACCCUGUAGAGGAGCUGCAGGAGGCAGUGGAGAUGUUGAAUGACACGGUCAGAGAGAGAGGACGAUCACAGAAUCACAUCCAUGAUCAAGCCAUCCAGACUAUGAUCCGACAGCUGGCUGUGCUGUCAGUGCGUGUGGAGGACAGUCUGUGCUGCAGUAGAAAGCUGAACCAGGAACUCCUACAGAGAGAGAAAGACAUGGCCAUGCGCUGUGAACCAGAACAAUGUGGACUAGAGGGACUGAAGGAACAGCAAGAAAACCUAGAGGUGAAUUAUGCUGUGCUGAAGGAAGAGGUGGAGGAGCUCCAGAGACAGACUGGUUAUCUGGAGGAGCUAUGCCCAGAGAGAGUGACCUUCCUGGCGGUGGAGGUGCAGGGAGCCCUGGGGGUAUGGAGGGAAUUGAGGAGGAACGUAGAGGGGAACAGAGACAGAUUACGACAGUUUGUUCACCUGCAGGACUUCUUCAGGACCUACCUGGCCAUGAUAUCGUGGAUGGAGGACACCCGGGAGUGUAUUUUCUCUGAGAGAGUGUUGCAUUGUGGGAGGGACGACCAGGAGCCAAUGGCUGCGGUGAUGGAGAUGGACGUCCAGAUAGACAGAAAGUUGGAGGAGUUGGAGGAGAUGGAUGCUGCAGGGAGGAACCUGCUGAACGCUGAGCACCACCUGGCCAACAUGAUCCAUGAGCGUCUGGAGGAGUUGAGGUCCAUGCUGGGAUGGAUGCUGGUCCACUGGAGAAACCAGAAACACCAGAGGAGUCAACGCAGGAAUAACGAGACUGAACCUAAUGAAGAUCUUAUCGACUCUGAGCCCCCAACAGAGCAGACUUCUGGAGAUAAUAUCUACUCAAAGACCACAGUAGAGUCCACUAGAGACAACAUCUACUCAGAGACCACAGUAGAGUCCACUAGAGACAACAUCUACUCAGAGACCACAGUAGAGUCCACUAGAGACAACAUCUACUCAGAGACCACAGUAGAGUCCACUAGAGACAACAUCUACUCAGAGACCACAGUAGAGUCCACUAGAGACAACAUCUACUCAGAGACCACAGGAGCAGAUAUCUACACAGAUGAUACAGCCUGCUCCACCCACAGUACCCCUGCUCAGCCAGAGACCCACAGUACCCCUGCUCAGCCAGAGACCCACUUUACCCCUGAACUGAGUGUCUUUGAGGACAGACUGAGGAAAAUAGACACUCUGUACUGUCCCGCAACAGACCAGCAAAGUUGGAAGGACCAAGAGGAUGGCUAUCAGGUGAUGAACAGCAACACAGGGCCUCUAAGGGGCCUCACCUCUCCCCCAGAGACCCACCAAUCCCCCUGCCUGGUCUUAAAAGAGCCCAGCAGCCCAGCCCUCUGCCUGGGGGGCACCAUGAGCCUAGGGGGCACCUCAGUCAACAGCAGCCCUAAGGUUAGAAUGGGGGGGCAGGGGGUUAGCUUGGUGGGCCAGGGGGUUCGCCUGGGGAACCAGGGGGGAAUGGUCUACCUAGGGGGCACCGUCAAGAACAGCCCUACCCUCAGCCUUGGAGGCAGUGUGGACCUGGGGGGUACUGUCAAUCUCAUCCUCAGCUUGGGGAACCAAGGAGACAGUCAUGUGGAGGUGAUGGAGGCUAAUCCUAGGGUGGGUGAGGAGGAGAGCACAGAGCCUGUCCACAGGGACAACAACAUGACAUCAGCUCCUGCAUACGAGAGUAUUUUACUGCCCCGCCUCCACACCAAGACCUCCUCCUCUUCAUCCCCCUCCUCCUCCUCCGGGGCUCCUCAAUCUUGCGUCUCUUUCUCCUCCUCCCUGCCCAAGAACACCUCCAUCUUCUCUAGUCUGAAGAUAAGGAGCAAGAAGAGGAGAAGGAAGAGAGACGCUGGCCGCCACACCAUUCAGAAAAUCAUGGUUGUAGAGGGGGAGGAGCAGACAGAGGUGGCAUGUCCUGCUGAAGCUGCACCCCAGCAAAUCACGCUGUACGACACCCAGACCUGGCCAAUGAAGGAGGGCCGGAGGAAGAAGAAGAGCCUAUUAAAGGCCGAGGGGGUGGGGCCAGGGCAGGGGGUGGAACUCGUGGACUACAUGGAUAACCCAUUGGCCAGGGAUAUUGAAGAUGAAUGUUCUGGGGUCUCCACUGUCAGCCCCUAUGCAGUGACAGAGGCAGUCUCUAUAGCUCCACCCAGGGGCCAGGUGAGGAGCCACUGCAGGUUCCUGUCUCUGGGGUCUGUUUUGACCUUCGACCUCUCCAAAGACAUGAGGUUGAUCCCCAGUAUACAGGAUGUCAUCACUAUAGGACUCCCAGAACACAGGGGAACCCCCAACCCAAACCUCAAUCCCAACCCUCACACAGAGACACAUGCAGCCCUCAGCUCUUUCAAACAUACCCGCUCCCCUCCCUCAGACACGCACAGAGGACCAGACAAUGAGGCCGUCACUACUUACAGAUAUGAAACAAUGACACAGAUACAGACACAGCCACUACUGACACUGACACUGACACAGCCACUACUGACAAAGACACAACCACUACCGACACAGACACAACCACUACUGACACAGAUACAGACACAGACACAACCAUUACUGACACAGACACAGCCACUACUGAGACAGACACCGACACAAAUACUAAAACAGACAAAGCCACUGACACAGGCUGUUCAGCUAGAGCCUCUGUCUAAUCUAGAUACAGAUUUUCCUCCUCCUCCUCCUCCUGCCCUGGAUGAGGACUGGGAUCAGAACGUAUCAAGCAAUGACCUAUCCCUAUCACAGAUCCAGACCGUACUCCAGGAGCCUGAGCAAGAGUGGUCGGAGCUCAUCUUCAGCAAGCAACCACCAAUCACAGCUUAUUGCCCAAAGAGUCCCACUCCAAUGAACCGAGACCAUUACAAUUACAUGGAAACGACCAUGGUUAGUAGAAGUCCUAUUGUAAAGAGCAAGGACCCCUGUCCCUCCUCAGCCUAUCAGAACCAUGAGAGCAAGGACCCCUGUCCCUCCUCAGCCUAUCAGAACCAUGAGCGCAAGGACCCCUGUCCCUCCUCAGCCUAUCAGAACCAUGAGCGCAAGGACCCCUGUCCCUCCUCAGCCUAUCAGAACCAUGAGCGCAAGGACCCCUGUCCAUCCUCAGCCUAUAAGAACCAUGAGAGCAAGGACCCCUGUCCCUCCUCAGCCUAUCAGAACCACGAGUGCCUCAUUCAGGACCUCAAUGGACACCAGUACCAUCAUAGGUUGAAGACCCAUAGAGAGAGUGUUGACCUCCAGGAGACCAGCCAGGCUUCUCAGAUGGUUGUGAAUCUGAAGGUCAGUGGGUUAGGGAGUAUGAUGCAAGACUCUAUGGACUCUGGCAUCUCUGGUGUCUCCAACUCUGGGAGCUUGAAGCUCAAUGCACCUGAUGUUCUCCAAGAGCCCCAGCCCAUGAGGACUGUGGUGGGGAGGCUAGUGUCUCUGGAGGAGGGGCGCAUGGAGGCUGUGUCCACACCCAGGGAAAAUCCCACAGAAACCCCAGCUCCUGCCCACCCAGAGACAAAAACAACACCCAGAAACAGACACCACCAGACAGAGACAGAACUCGACUCUGAUCCGCUCGACCCCGACCUCACCAUCCAUCCAGACCACCAGCAGUUUGAGGAGGUAGAGGAGGAGCUGGAGGACAUCUGGAACCAUAGCAAUGGCUACAGACAGAGUAUCUCCUCUGACAUCAUGUACCAGCCACACCAAGAGGAGAAGGAGGGGGGAAGUAGCAACACCCCAGGACUGACCACAGACCCCCUCUCACCCCCCCAGGCCCAGCCCCAGGCUACCCCCUACAGGAAGCUGAUAACAACUUCUGCCCCUAACCUUCUGGUGGCUGAAUUCACACUCCCCUCCUCCCUCCAAACCCUACUGGGGUACAACCAGGACCAGAACCAGGACCAGGGCUUUAGCCAAGACCCUAACUCCAGAGAAGAGCUCCCUAUGCUGGCUAACAGAGACAUGAGGUCCUGGGCAGCUUUCCCUAUUCAGGACCAACCCUGGAGGACCACACCACUGGUCAAUGAAACGGCAGCAGAACCAGUCAAGCUGCCGGAAAUGGAGGACCAGAAGAGAUAUAUCUACCAUUAUAGAGAGGAGGAGGAAGAGGAUGAGGAGGAGAAGAUGGAGGACACAGGUUGUCCAAAGGACCCAUCAAUGAGUCUGCUGUCUGUCCACAUGGGUCUGCACGGAAACAAUCAGCGAGCUACAAGUUGUGGCACUCUGGAAGGUGUCAUGGAAAAGCAUGGAGAGAGUCUGGCCACAGGGGGGCGAUGUGGCACUAUGAAUGGGAGUGGGUCUGAGCUGCAGACGAUGGAGGGAACUCUGGAGAGGAAACACAAGCUGCAGCUGGGAGGGAAGAAGGCCAGGUCUCGAGCAUGGAGCUCCCAUCAUGCAGUGCUUUACAAACAGACACUCUGCUUCUACCAAGACAGAAAGGAUACACUGAGGAACUGUGUGUGUGGCCUGUCUCUAACCCUGACGGGAGCAGAAUGUGUCUCAGCCCCAGAGAACACUAAGAAACCACAGUGUUUCAGUCUGCGCUUAAGAGAUGGCUCAGAGUACCUCCUCAACACAGCAAACCGAUUCAUGAUGAAGAAAUGGAUGCUGAAAAUACAAGCCAACAGUGUGCCCAGUGAGCAUGUCUCCUCCAUGACGUCACCCAGCGACCUCUUGGUUCAGGACCACCCCGCCCCCUUCACCACCUCUUUCCUCUCACAAAGUACCAGCAGGGGGACGACCAGAGCCAAGGAGAUAGUUGUCCUGACCAGAGAGACCAGAGAGACUCACCGUCAGAUCCCUCAGUUGCACCCAGAGAAACAGCAGGACCCAACAUCCUCAUCACAUACAGGCCGUCGUGAAGAUAACUAUGACUCCCUGAGACAGAAACUGUGUGGUAGAUCCAGGGAGAACAGCCCUUCCUCCUUGCACUCCUCCAUCUCUCCUUUCUCCCUCCACAACUCGUCCUCCAUCCCUCCAUUCUCCCUCCACUCCCCUGUCUCUCCUCCUUUCUCCUCUGUCUAUAGAGGUGGUCAGGACUGGCUCAGUCAAGUGAACAAGUGUCACUCAUUUACCUCAGCAAGGUACCAGAAUAUUAAACCAGCGUUGCUGCCCCCAGGAGGCAGAGGCCGGGACUACGGAUCAGUGGGUCUGGACUGUGGGUCAAACUACUCCGUGACUAUGAUUAUAGGAGACAAGCAGUCUGCCGCCUCUCCCACUCUCAGUUGUGAUGGUAGUGGUCCAUCUAUCACCAGUCACACUGACCCACAGCGCCCCCUGCUGGAUGGAUGGCAGCACCACUCAUAUCACCAGGACUCUACUACAAGAAGGCAGCUUCACCGGCACCAAGCAAUGUACCACCACGACCAGGAACCAUCUCUGAGGUCCUGCACCGGUCUGCCUCCGCCACGCAAGAAGUCUGUCUUCAACAAGUUCUUUGGGAAGAAAGACUGA
ensembl:lncRNA